CGCGGUGAGCAUAGCUAGGUGGAAAUACUUAUUUCCAUUCCGAACAUAAAAGUCAAGCACCUAGCGCCCUCCUCUCCCCACCCUUGCGGUGUAGGUUGGGAGGGUUUGUCGCGC
rfam:Mycoplasma haemofelis Ohio2, complete genome.